rnacentral:rRNA from 1 species
UACGAAGGGUGCAAGCGUUACUCGGAAUUACUGGGCGUAAAGCGUGCGUAGGCGGUUUGUUAAGUCCGUUGUGAAAGCCCUGGGCUCAACCUGGGAAUUGCAGUGGAUACUGGCGAGCUAGAGUGCGGUAGAGGAUGGUGGAAUUCCCGGUGUAGCGGUGAAAUGCGUAGAGAUCGGGAGGAACACCCGUGGCGAAGGCGGCCAUCUGGACCAGCACUGACGCUGAGGCACGAAAGCGUGGGGAGCAAAUGGG